AGUCGAGCGGAGAGAGGUAGCUUGCUAUCGAUCUUAGCGGCGGACGGGUGAGUAAUGCUUAGGAAUCUGCCUAUUAGUGGGGGACAACAUUUCGAAAGGAAUGCUAAUACCGCAUACGUCCUACGGGAGAAAGCAGGGGAUCUUCGGACCUUGCGCUAAUAGAUGAGCCUAAGUCGGAUUAGCUAGUUGGUGGGGUAAAGGCCUACCAAGGCGACGAUCUGUAGCGGGUCUGAGAGGAUGAUCCGCCACACUGGGACUGAGACACGGCCCAGACUCCUACGGGAGGCAGCAGUGGGGAAUAUUGGACAAUGGGCGCAAGCCUGAUCCAGCCAUGCCGCGUGUGUGAAGAAGGCCUUAUGGUUGUAAAGCACUUUAAGCGAGGAGGAGGCUACUUUAGAUAAUACCUAGAGAUAGUGGACGUUACUCGCAGAAUAAGCACCGGCUAACUCUGUGCCAGCAGCCGCGGUAAUACAGAGGGUGCAAGCGUUAAUCGGAUUUACUGGGCGUAAAGCGCGCGUAGGCGGCUAAUUAAGUCAAAUGUGAAAUCCCCGAGCUUAACUUGGGAAUUGCAUUCGAUACUGGUUAGCUAGAGUGUGGGAGAGGAUGGUAGAAUUCCAGGUGUAGCGGUGAAAUGCGUAGAGAUCUGGAGGAAUACCGAUGGCGAAGGCAGCCAUCUGGCCUAACACUGACGCUGAGUGCGAAAGCAUGGGGAGCAAACAGGAUUAGAUACCCUGGUAGUCCAUGCCGUAAACGAUGUCUACUAGCCGUUGGGGCCUUUGAGGCUUUAGUGGCGCAGCUAACGCGAUAAGUAGACCGCCUGGGGAGUACGGUCGCAAGACUAAAACUCAAAUGAAUUGACGGGGGCCCGCACAAGCGGUGGAGCAUGUGGUUUAAUUCGAUGCAACGCGAAGAACCUUACCUGGCCUUGACAUAGUAAGAACUUACCAGAGAUGGAUUGGUGCCUUCGGGAACUUACAUACAGGUGCUGCAUGGCUGUCGUCAGCUCGUGUCGGAGAUGUUGGGUUAAGUCCCGCAACGAGCGCAACCCUUUUCCUUAUUUGCCAGCGAGUAAUGUCGGGAACUUUAAGGAUACUGCCAGUGACAAACUGGAGGAAGGCGGGGACGACGUCAAGUCAUCAUGGCCCUUACGGCCAGGGCUACACACGUGCUACAAUGGUCGGUACAAAGGGUUGCUACCUAGCGAUAGGAUGCUAAUCUCAAAAAGCCGAUCGUAGUCCGGAUUGGAGUCUGCAACUCGACUCCAUGAAGUCGGAAUCGCUAGUAAUCGCGGAUCAGAAUGCCGCGGUGAAUACGUUCCCGGGCCUUGUACACACCGCCCGUCACACCAUGGGAGUUUGUUGCACCAGAAGUAGGUAGCCUAACGCAAAGAGGGC
rnacentral:rRNA from 1 species